GCAGAGCAUCCUACGGGAGGCAGCAGUCGGGGAAUAUUGCACAAUGGGCGCAAGCCUGAUGCAGCCAUGCCGCGUGUAUGAAGAAGGCCUUCGGGUUGUAAAGUACUUUCAGCAGUGAGGAAGGUGGGUAUGUUAAUAGCAUAUUCAUUUGACGUUAGCUGCAGAAGAAGCACCGGCUAACUCCGUGCCAGCAGCCGCGGUAAUACGGAGGGUGCGAGCGUUAAUCGGAAUUACUGGGCGUAAAGCGCAUGCAGGUGGUUUGUUAAGUCAGAUGUGAAAGCCCGGGGCUCAACCUCGGAAUUGCAUUUGAAACUGGCAAACUAGAGUACUGUAGAGGGGGUAGAAUUUCAGGUGUAGCGGUGAAAUGCGUAGAGAUCUGAAGGAAUACCGGUGGCGAAGGCGGCCCCCUGGACAGAUACUGACACUCAGAUGCGAAAGCGUGGGGAGCAAACAGGAUUAGAUACCCUGGUAG
rnacentral:rRNA from 1 species